rnacentral:tRNA from 1 species
GGGAGUAUAGCUCAGGGGUAGAGCAUCUGACUGCAGAUCAAGAUGUCCCCAGUUUAAAUCUGAGUGCCCCA